GCAACCUUCAUAGGAGUGGAUGAUUGAUACCUAAAAAUUCAAGAGAUGUAGUUAAGCCCCACAGCUGCCUAUUGACUGUUGACAUAGUAAACGCUUCACUCACAAUUGCACAUUAUGGAUGCAAAAAUGGGAAGUCAUGUGAUGAAGAGCGCUCGAACUAAUACAAACACAGCUAAAAAAACAAAGCGUACGUCUCUUGUCUCGCCCCCGAGAUCCUCCUUAAUUAUUUAGCUACAUGAACUUUUUGUUAAACUUUAUAAUAAUAUUUAGAGUGUUUGUAGGUACACUCCACUUCCAAAAAUAUACAAAAUCAACAAACACGGUAAACAUUCAUCAAUGUUUAUAUCCCCUAAAUUUGAUAAUUAUUACUUUUUGUUGGACAUUUAAAAAAAAUACUUAGUUUUAACAUAUAUUACUAAAUGUAUAACAUAAAUGUUAUAAAACUAAAAUAAAUAAAUUAAAAUAAAACAAAUAUUAUGCAAUAAAUUCUAAUUUAAAAUAAAUACAACAAAAAUAAAUUAGGAAAAGUGAAUAAAUAAAUUUUCAUCUCACAAUUAGUAAUUCAUAAUACUGAACAAAUAUAAUUUAAAAAAAAGUUGAAAAACCAAAAAUAUGUAUUUUAAAUUUUAAGCAAUGUAUAUUUAACUUUUGAGAGAUGUGAGAAAUGUUUGAUGACACCUUAUUUUAUCCAUCAUAAUAAUAAUAAAACAAUAAUUCUCUCAUAAUAAAGUCACUUAUAUGUGUUUUUGGACGCGAUAUGAUUUUGGACGUGCAUUUGUUUAUAGACUGUCAUAAAAGUUGGAAGUUGGAAAAAAUUAAGAAUAAUAGUAUAUAUUUAAGUUGAAAUAGUAAUACAUUAAAAGAAAAUGAAAUGUAAACAAAAAUAGUAUAAGUAAUAUGAUUAAAAAUAAAAACUAUUGAACUUAUAUUAGAAAAAUUAGGUGUUUUAAUUUUUUAACAAUAAGGAAAUAAUUUUAUAAGAGAGAAUAAAUUUUUUUAAUAUCUAGUCAAUAUUUUUUAAUAAACUCUCUUAAUCUUUUUCACAUAUUUGAAAAAAAUGAUCGAUAAAUUUCUAUUAUUCAAUACUUUGAUCAGUAUGAAAGUUAUUCCCCUUUAUAAAAAUAGUAUUUUUUUUCGUAUAGAAAUUUUUUUUAAUCAACAAUAUUUUUUUUCAGUAUAUAAAUAUUAUUUUUGUUUUGAUAUUAUUUAAAAAAAUACUUGAAUGAAUAGUAAAAUUGUUCUCGUAUAUAAAAAUAUUCCAAUCAACAAUGUAUUGUUUCCCGUAUAUAAAUAUUAUUUUUGUUUUGUCAAUAUUUAUAAAAAUAUUUGAAUCAAUAAUAAAGUUGCUUUCGUUUCUAACAAUAAUAUUGUUUAUAAAAAUAUUUUGAUAAACAAUACAUUUGUUACGGUAUUUUUAAUUGUACAUCACAUUGAUAUAGAUAAAAAUAAUCAAACAUUUAAUUUAAAAUUAUAUUAAUAUCGUAUGUAGUGAAGUAAGGAGAACGGUAGGACAUGAGGGAAAACAAAUAAAAAUCAAUUACAAACAUCCUAAAAAACUAACUUGAUUCUAGAAAACCAUCUCAAUGAAGUUGAUAAAUACUUCAUUGAAUAUAAUAAAUUAUUUUAAUAUCAAGAGAAAGUCACUUAUAAUGAUAAACUAAUGAUUAAAAUUAAACUAACAAAUAUGAUCAAAGUUGUAAUCUUAUACUCUUUUAAGUUCCUCCUCAGUCAAGUUAUGGUAAAAGGAAUCUUGUAGCAAAUUAAAUAGUUUGUCUAUUAUGUUCUUUGUUUGUGUCACUAUGAAUACAUCAGGAAACACCAAUCCAAAUUCUAGAAUCAUUAACACAAAAGUGUUAUGAACAAAUGUUUUAACCUCGUGAACCGAAUCUACAUGGUAGUUAUUCCCAAGCCUUGGAUUCACUAUUCCGCAAAGAUCUUAUAUAGGAUCGAGUUGAGUAAGAACUCCUUCAAACUGCAUUGCAUGAUAAAAAUGAAAAGAAAUUAAUACUACUAUUUAGGUUUAUGAGGACAAAUCUUUAGUAGUGAAGUCAAGACCAAUCAAAGUUAUAAGUCUAUUUGAGUCUACAACAACAGAUUUGUUGGUCUUGAGAUUGUUCCUUUGUCGAAAGAAUUUCAUACAGAACAACCAAAUACGCACAGCAGACAAAUUACAUUUUAUCUAAGCUUUUCAUGAACCCAAAGAAAAUGGUAUUAAUUACUUUGAAUUCUCAUGAAAGAUUGUGGGCAGUGAUGGUUUGAAUAUUUGUUCUCGAAGAGUCUCAAUGAAUGAUUAAUUAGAGUAUUCAUAAAGACUAAAUUAGCAUGAUAUAACUUAGCUAUUUGAAACUACCAAAUUCCUUGUCAUCAUAACCUUGAAAACAUGUGUCUUUAAGGAUUAAUCUCUUGCGCAACAAAUUUUGUUAAUAUAGAGUUGUUUUUUGAUUGAAAAUUAUAUGCUUCUAAAUUUUGUCAUAACCUUGUAAGAAUUUUCUAAUGAGAUAAAAAUUUAUAAUAAGAUACAUUUCAUAAACAUUCACCUGUUUCUUGCCGAAAACAAUCUCGCCGCUGCAAAAAAUGGAUUUACGUUUUUAGAGAGGUUUCUUCCCUCAUAAAAUACAAAACUAACAAAGAUGCAUAUGAUAAGAGAAAACCAACAUUUCUUCGGUGUAAUCACAAAAUAAAACCAACAAAUCAAAAACAAAAACAAAAACAAGAAAGCUUCACUUACCAAAUAAAUAUUGCAAUUUGAAAUAAGAGGAAACAAAUAUGCAAAUUUGUCUUCAUUUCCGAAACAAAAAGAAGCGACAACAUUCAGAAGAGAAGAGAUAAGCUUGAAGCAACAACGUUGGUAGAACACAUCAACCAUUUCGAAUCUGACCACUACCACCAUCGCCGCCGGAAACGCAUUGUCUCCAUCACAGAUCUACCACCACCAUUAAAUCGCACAUCGCACGUCAUAAAGCAUUUUUGUAAACCAUGAUAGAAGAAAGAAUCAUAAUAGUAUAAGAACAUGAAGAAAGAAGAGGAAUAGAGAAGUUUGAAGAAGAGGAAGAGUGAGAUGAGCAGAAGAGGGAAAAGAGGAAAAGCUAAAGUACAAAAGUGAUGUGAUAGAUAUUAGGAGUAGAGAAAAGCUGGAAUUGGAUUGGUUGGUUUAGA
rnacentral:lncRNA from 1 species